rnacentral:misc_RNA from 1 species
GUUGGGUUUGGGUUUUGUGAAGGACUCAACCUCAUAGUGUUGCAAGGGGACAUGGACUUGAGAGCUGAAAUGAGAAUUAUGUACCUGGAAGGUUGUCAUGGCUAGAUCUAGAUCAAUAACGUCUUAAGUGCAUUUUAUAAGUAUUGGUAUUUGGUAGUGUACUUGCAUCUUUUGACUGGCGGAAAGACAAAAUCAUUAAUAAAUAUAUAGUUUAAGAUAGCAAAA